rnacentral:tRNA from 1 species
GCGGGCGUGGCGGAAUUGGUAGACGCGCUAGAUUUAGGUUCUAGUGUCUUUGGCGUGGGGGUUCAAGUCCCUCCGCCCGCACCA